rnacentral:rRNA from 2 species
ACGGAGGAUUCAAGCGUUAUCCGGAUUUAUUGGGUUUAAAGGGUGCGUAGGCGGUUUGAUAAGUUAGAGGUGAAAUUUCGGGGCUCAACCCUGAACGUGCCUCUAAUACUGUUGAGCUAGAGAGUAGUUGCGGUAGGCGGAAUGUAUGGUGUAGCGGUGAAAUGCUUAGAGAUCAUACAGAACACCGAUUGCGAAGGCAGCUUACCAAACUAUAUCUGACGUUGAGGCACGAAAGCGUGGGGAGCAAACAG